AUGACAUAUAGGUUCAAACCAGAUUAUUUCAACCAGUAGACUGUUGAGUUGGGGUUUAAAAUGGCCAAUAAUGGUGAAUCUAUGUUUAAUUUCCUAUUUAAUUUUUAUCCAUCUUUUGACCUUCAGCAUGAAGGAAAUAGUAAUUUGCCAAUGAAAAACUUUACAAAGAUUUGCUUGGAAAGGAAAGUAAACAGAAGAUUCAUGGGUAAAGAAAUAACAGAGAAUAUAUAAGAAUGCACAUAAGAGCAGAGGGGAGCAGGAAGAGAAUGAAUCCAGCCAAGGAGGCUGGAGGCAAAGGAAUGAGAAUCAAAGACAGACUCUUCCUUAUGAACUUACUAAUUGAAAUCAAACCCUGAUCCAAAUGCCUACUUUGGGAUUAAGUUCUCAAGAAGUGCAGAGAUACAGCCAGGUAUAAUGGUGUGUGCCUAUAAUCCAAGCAACUCAGGAGGCUGAGGCAGCAGGCUAACAAGUUCAAGGAGGAGCACAAGUUCAAGGCCAGCCUCAGC
rnacentral:lncRNA from 1 species